CCUACGGGGGGCUGCAGUGGGGAAUAUUGGACAAUGGGCGCAAGCCUGAUCCAGCCAUGCCGCGUGAGUGACGAAGGUCUUCGGAUUGUAAAGCUCUUUUGCCAGGGACGAUAAUGACGGUACCUGGAGAAUAAGCCCCGGCUAACUUCGUGCCAGCAGCCGCGGUAAUACGAAGGGGGCUAGCGUUGUUCGGAAUUACUGGGCGUAAAGCGCACGUAGGCGGAUUUGUUAGUCAGGGGUGAAAUCCCGGGGCUCAACCUCGGAACUGCCUUUGAUACUGCAAAUCUCGAGUCCGGAAGAGGUGAGUGGAAUUCCUAGUGUAGAGGUGAAAUUCGUAGAUAUUAGGAAGAACACCAGUGGCGAAGGCGGCUCACUGGUCCGGUACUGACGCUGAGGUGCGAAAGCGUGGGGAGCAAACAGGAUUAGAUACCCCAGUAGUC
rnacentral:rRNA from 1 species